AUUGCUUUUAAGUUUUAAGAAACGUCUUUUUCCCUUUAAAUUAAUUCCUUGAAACAGAACAAUGAUUGAUCAAAAUGUGCCUUAAAAAAUUGCUACACAUAAUUCUAUCAUCUAAAAAGAAGGCAAAAGAUUAAACAGAGUAUUUGAUAUAUAUGUUGCUUUUAAUCACAUGUCUAGUGUCCUAAUCUGACAAUGGCAACUCGGGUUUCCUCACGGGUCGAGAUAUUGAUUGAAACUAAUAACGUUGUCCAAUUUUAUGUUGAAUUAUUGAUAGGAAAAAUAUCUUAUUAAUCCCUGUUCCGAAAUAGUUGUCACGUUUGUUCUCGAAAGUCAAUUUGACUAAGUUUUGGAGUUAAAUUAGAUUAGAUUAAUUCAAUAUUGUAAAAUUAAAUUUGAAUAUUCAAAAACCAUAUCAAAGUACUAUAAGUUGCAAUUGUACUCAUCUCAAUAUAUUUAAAAAAACAUAAUCUUAAAAUAUUACUCAAAGUUUAUGUAAUUUGAUUAUCGAGAAGCGAAACAUGACAAAUAUUUUAGAAACCAAGGGAGAAUAUGUUAGUAUUUAAAAGGAAGGGAGGUUCUUUGCCUCACGACAGGGAAAUAUUUUGGCUCAUCCUUCACGAGAUGUCUAACUAGGCCCUAGAAAGGGACAGUUAUUCUGGUCUAUUUGUCUUAAAAAAUAAUGUAGGUUGGUGGACUAUAUAUUGGCUCGUACUAGUGCCGUAUAA